UCUAUGUCUCAUAAUGGAGCCCUUACCCAAGCAACUGUACACAAUUCAGAGGUCUUUUAAGAACCAAACUGCUAACUACUUCAAACUCACAUUUUGCAAACAAUGAAAUGUUUGGAAUAUGAUCUUUGAAAUAUUAUUUCUAUUUUCUGAUGUUGCAACUUAAUCUUCAGUUUUACUGAAGCCAGUUUUAGUCUGAGCCAGGGACUUUUGAUGACUAAUUUAAUCUCCUUACUAGACAUUGUUUUUUUCAGAAGAGACAGCACAAACAAGGGAUUGAAGUGCACAAAGAGAUAUGGUGAUCAGUUUUCAAGUAGACUUACUGAUCUGUUUUCAGAAAGAUAUUCAUCCCAUCUAAAGAGAUUUGGAGACUGGAAAUCCAAGAUCAAGUUUCCUGCCAAUUCAGUUCUUGGUUUGCAGACCAUCUUUCUGCUGUAUCCUCACUUCGGGGCAGGAAGGGAUGAAGGAGGAAGAGGAUCCACAUACUUGGCUGCCCAAGGUAACCACUGCAGGGGCUGGAGGUCAAGUCCGGGAGGUGCCACGGAGAAACCACACUAUUCAUCCAGCCAUCUGGAGACAGUUAAUCAAUCAUAAAGACAGAAAAAUGAACAAUGAGACUUCUAGAAUUUAAAGAAGUUCACCCCAGGAAUCUUGGCUCUGUUGAUGCAGUGACCCCCUCGAGUUAAUAAUGGACAAACCACCCCAUUAGCCCAAAGAAGAUCAGCAAGAUAUUCAGGGUUCUGGCACAGCUGUGUUGGGCUACUUAAAAGAAUAGGUCUCGGAGAAAGUUCUAGUAAUGAACUGGAAACAAAUAAGAUUUUGUGAUAAUUACACAAGGAUGGUUAUUCGCAAUAAUUGUGGCAAAGCAUCAGGAAAAAAAGAAAAAUGUACAUAUCUAUUGUCUUAACCUUGUUUCUGACUUUAUCUUUCAACCUGUAAUUUUAAUUUGGUCCAGCUUUCCUCAUCCACUCACUUUCAAUUUUAUUUAAUCAUUUCAUAAAUAACCUUAAAUCCCUUAGCGAAUUCUGAAGGUCACUAAAUAAUUAAACCUUUAAGACAAUGACAGCAAGAAAUUCUUUCUCUCUCAGCAAAGAUUGGCUGACAGGUGGGUGAUCUCAAGCCUCAAGUAUUUGACUUCCCCCUUUGUUCAGCUCUCCUAGUAAGCUGCGGUGGGAGAGCAAUCCACAAUUAAGAGGACUAUCCUCCCUCCUCUUCUGCCCCAAGCUUUGCAUGUAUAAGUUGAGCCUUUGGGGUUUUACACUUGCUAGCACUCUUUACAGAUGAUUAAUAUUAUUACCUU